rfam:Medicago truncatula strain A17 chromosome 7, whole genome shotgun sequence.
GACGAGGAUGAAUAUUGCUUUAUUCUGACACCUCUUGUAUGAGAUGGAUCUUAUGAUCCAUCCUUGAGCACAUUAUGCAACUCUCUGAGUC